UCAAAUAAUGAAUAUAAUCAUAAAUGAUUCAUUAUAUGUAGUUCUGGAAUACAUAGUAUUAUAUGGUAAUACAAUCAUUGCCAUUUAUAACUGAGGAAUAUAUUCGUUUUUGAAGAGAAAAUCUAUUUCACGCACGUCAGUAUUGGCGCUACCCAAUCAGCAACCUUCCCAUUGGAAGGUGUAGCUCGCGUGCUUCCAUGAAUGCGUAGCGAAUGGCUGAGGAUAAAGCUUUGUUGAUUAGUUGUGCAUUUUGUACAGUAGUCUUGUGCAAAGACUGCAAUGAGAUUUAUACUGUAUUUACCAUACUGUUUGUUACAUAGGCGCUUCAUCUAUGCCGCUAUUUUGAGGAAAACACACUCAACCUGAAGGGAAAGCGCAGAGACUGGAUCGAAUGUGACCUUGACAAACCUCCCCCUUGCUGUUCCUUAACUGCAAAGCAAUGUCUCAGCAAACAUGCCAUCUUCCGGCUGGCCUUCUUAUGCCCCCUCCGUCCUCUCCCUCUCCUGGGUCCAGGACCAGGACAGCUUCCCUUCAAACUGGGACCCUGGUGCUGGGUGCAGAUAUUGUGUACCUGUCUGAGACUUACCCCCUCCUUCUGGACACACUGGCUCACCUGAGCAAGGACAGUACCUCUCAUCCAAGAUGCGAGGAGAUCACGGGACACCUAGCUUCUACUGAGACACUCUGCCUCCAUAGAAGGUUCCAUGUGGAGCUUUUUACACCGCUACCCCACACAGAACAUCAACAUCUACCGCGCUACUCAGAGAGGGAAGUAGUAACCACAAUGAGACUGGAUAACAUUGGGAGACUGUGAUGAACAGUUGAAUAGGUUGAGACCUGGAGGGGAAUAACACAACAGUGAAUGUGUCUUCUAGACAUCCUCUCUGAGACAAGUACAUGACUGUUACUAGUAUUUUACUGCCAGAACACAUAUACCCUGAUACAUUACUAUGGUCAGAUAGAAAACGAAGAACAUGCACACAUACAAAAACCUUUUGUAUGCGCUGGCUACCAAAGGAGAGACUUUUGAAUAGACAUUAAAGAGCAACGGCUCCUCACUCAAUUUUGAGUAUUCCCAACUGUUAUUUUACACAAAUAUACACCAAUAUGUGUACAUGUUGAAGUAAGAAACAGAGAUAAAAUAAUACUUUGUGAGCAGUAAAAGCAGUGCACAGAUACUUUUCCUGUCUUUGUCAGGUUACUGCAGUCAAAUCAUGUGAAGUUGUGUUUGAUCCAGUUUGAUGAAGUGCUCUAUUGUAGAGGUUGAAGGGGUUGUUGAUUACUGGUUAAAAUUUUGUUUAUACCAUGACCAUCCACUUGCAGAACGUUUUUGUCAACAUCGACAGAUUCUGCCCCCCCCCUCCCUCUGCCUGUACAUACUUCAUCCCCGCUCUUCUGCUCUCUGCUGAUGUGCAGAGUUUCUGUUCAGAAAAGAAAAGCCUGUUUGUUCCGCUGGAGAGUUUCAAAGAAAGAGAGACCGGCGGUCUUCCCCCCUCCAUCUCUCUCUUUGCUAUAGUACUCCCGACAAAACAACAGAUCCCUAUCUAUAUUCAGAGUCUGCUCUCCACCAGCGAUCCACAGAGUCCCCACGCUAGAAACUGUCAUUCACUGAGUGUGUAAUAAUCCUUUGAUCAACAUUGAUAUAGACCUUAAUUGUAACGAUAAUGCCCAAUGCAGGUUGGACGAGAAGUAACUUAUGGUACAACAUAAAAUACAAUGUUAUAUGCAUUACUUUAAAAUGCUUUAUUGUGCCUGUAAGAUAAAUUUAUAUUUUUUGAAUUAUCAAAUGAUUGAUUUGGCAGCAAAACUUCAAAGAAAUAAAGUAAAUUAAAUGUUUUUUUAAAUGUUA